GUUCCUGUAUGAUCACCGAAGUUAAGUAACGUUGAGCUUUGUCAGUACCUAGAUGGGUGACUGCUUGGGAAUACUGGGUGCUGUAAG